rnacentral:rRNA from 1 species
UACAGAGGGCGCGAGCGUUGUCCGGAAUUACUGGGCGUAAAGGGCGCGUAGGCGGCCUUCUAAGUCGAACGUGAAAUCCCCGGGCUCAACCCGGGAACUGCGUCCGAUACUGGAAGGCUUGAAUCCGGGAGAGGGAUGCGGAAUUCCAGGUGUAGCGGUGAAAUGCGUAGAUAUCUGGAGGAACACCGGUGGCGAAGGCGGCAUCCUGGACCGGCAUUGACGCUGAGGCGCGAAAGCCAGGGGAGCAAACGGG